AAGUCGUAACAAGGUUUCCGUAGGUGAACCUGCGGAAGGAUCAUUACCACUUAAAAAAUAAUCCAAACCUUUCUAUCAACCCACGUCCCGUGUGAAAUGUGUUCCCUUUCUUUUUUGAACUCAAAAAAGAAAAAACAUGUGAACGUUCAGUGUGAGGAGAAAAGGGUUCGCGAAAUUCCUCUCCUCGCCUGAAUGCUUCUCUAUGUUUUUCUUCUUCUUCUUUUGGACUUCAAAAAAAGUUUGAGCCCCCACGUCCCCAUUUUUUAGAAAAAUAUGGUUGGAGAAAAAGACAUGUUUUUUUUUGGAAAAAAAACAUUAAAUGAGAGACAACUUUUAACGGUGGAUCUCUUGGCUCGU
rnacentral:misc_RNA from 1 species